rnacentral:rRNA from 1 species
CCUACGGGAGGCUGCAGUGGGGAAUAUUGGGCAAUGGAGGCAACUCUGACCCAGCAACGCCGCGUGAAUGAUGAAGGUCUUCGGAUUGUAAAGUUCUGUGAUGGGGGAUGAACACAAUGACGGUACCCCAAUAGCAAGCCACGGCCAACUACGUGCCAGCAGCCGCGGUAAGACGUAGGUGGCAGGCGUUAUCCGGAAGGACUGGGCGGAAGGGGUGCGGCGGUGGUUUAGUAAGUUGGCGGUGAAAUUCCGGGGCUCAACCUCGGCGCUACCGCCAAAACUAUUAGACUAGAGUGCAGGAGGGGUAAGUGGAAUUCCUAGUGUAGCGGUGGAAUGCGUAGAUAUUAGGAGGAACAUCAGGGGCGAAGGCGACUUACUGGACUGUAACUGACACUGAGGCACGAAAGCGUGGGGAGCAAACAGGAUUAGAUACCCCUGUAGUC